UCCGCCACCUGCGACCACAGAGCCCCACACCCUGUGUGCCACCCUGGACCUCCUUCCUGUCGGUUCGGUCCAGAUCGCCACCCCCCACCCCCGUCAACAACUAAGGGCACCUCUCUCGUUCAGACCCCGGGCAAUUUUCACAUCCCUGGGUUAUUUCAGCUGCUAUUUGCACAAAACCGACUCUCGCGGUUCUGUGGGCCCAGAGCUCGGCGCACCUGCCUGGCCGCCCUCUGCACUCCCCGCAAGCCCACGUCCUGACUGCUCCCUCGUCUCUCUGGGUGGGGUCUUUGCCCUUGGGAGACUCGGGAGUCUCGGUAUAAGCCCCGUCCUGCCGCCAGCCACAGGCUUCCCCGCUGGGCCUCCAGAUUCUCCAGUGCUGGGGUUCCGGUCCGGGGGUUCGCGGUCCGCUCCCCUUCAGUCGGUAGCUGGGACCCGCUCUGCGAGCUCGGCUCGGCCGCACCCACGCGGAGCUCAGACUCCACCUUCCCGAGGAGGGUGUGGACGCCGUGGGAGGUGGGGGAGGCCUCAGCCUCGGCCCCGGCGGUCCUCCCGGGUGGCACGAAAGGCCCUGAAGCCCUUCCACCCGCACGGGCGGAACCCGGCGUCUACAUCGAGGAGGAGGGAGUGGGAAAUGGGCGGUCAGGCUUGGGGCUGCUGGGAUCCACCCUGGAUUCCCGACCUCAGAGCCGUCGGCGGUCGCAUCCUUUCCUCGCUUUUCGAGGUCUCGUCGUGACAGUGCAUGAGGUCCAGGACCCCAUCUUCGCCUCCAUACCACGCGUGUCCCCCACCCGCCGUCGAGCGACGCGAGACUGCAGAGGUCCAGGCGGCGGCCGGGAGGCUGCGUGGAAGAGGAGGCGGCGGCCAGGAGGCGGGCUUCUCCCCUGGGCGGGUGGGUGUUUCACCCUCCCGCCCAUUCUGCUCUGUGGACAAGGAAGCUAGGACCAGUGACGUCCAGCACCAAGGACAGCUCCCAGCGCAGCAGGAUGCAAACAGACUUCUCAGCCCAGUCCCUCCAGUCCAAGUCAAGGCUAAGGCCUGGCGAUGGUGGGGGAAGAGAAACCAAGGAGAGGAAGGCUGAAGGCCAUCCAGGCUGCAAGCAGGCCAAAGAGAAGACCUGACCUGGCCAUGAGCUCCCCGAGGGCCAAGUGUGCUCCCAGACUGAGAAGGGGCUGGCUCCAGCAAGCAGAUGUGAAGAGAGGCAGAGGUGUCACCCUGCAGCUUCUGCCCGAGCUACUGAGGGCCUUGCUCACCUGGUCACUUCUAGCAAGUUGUCCCACCUGGCCCAUCUAUUUCCCAUGUUGCCUCUCGGCUGCAUCCCUAACCCUACCCCAUGCCCAAUAAAGUGUGUUGCAGAUUGAA